CUGCUGACAGUCCUACUGCAGGCAUGCUUUAAAACAUUUUGUAGGUGGUACACUUUGAAAAUAAGACUUUUUUCUUUCUCUCUUUCAUAAGAAUGAACAAGGUUCAACAAGAUUUGCAUCCUCUGAGAACAUUCCUAAAUGACUUUGACUCCUAAGAAAAUCUGAAGCUAAGUCAGGAGCUCUCAGAGAGGAUCCUCAGACUUUUAUGGAUGCGGACCCUGGAAAUACCAUGCCAAGUCCCGAUGGCCCCAAAGAAGGAAACACAGAAAGAUAAAUGGGACUAAAGCUGGACACGAGGCCAAAACCACAAGACAGAAAAACGACAGAGCGACUAAAGGCCUGCUCAUUCCAAACAGCCAUCCAUCUCAUCAACCGCUCACAGAGUAACUCUCCCUCUAACUCCAGGGACAGGGGCCAACAUGCACAGAGGCCAGGCUGACCUCUUGUCUUGCUCAGGUGUCUGCCAGCUGAGACGGAGGGGAGCGAUACAGAGGGGGAGGAGGAGAGAGAGGAAGGCAACAGACUGCCAGAUCUGUGUGUGGCAGAGCAGCGUGGCCUCUGGCUCUGUCAGCGCCGCCACCGCCGCCGCUGCUUCUGCUGCUGUCAAACGACGACAGGACGGAGGAAAACAAGGGAGGGUCGGGUUAGGGAGGACACUGCUGUGUAAAUAACACAUUUAAGUGGAAAUGCUGUCACUGUGCGCAUGUUUUUUUUAAUUAGAAGUGAAAUUCCAUGGAAGGAUGUUGGCAGAUAUGCUCCUGCUCACAAAGCGAGAAUAAAUCCACAAAUCUCCUCAUCGCUCAUGGCUGAAGUUUUAAAACUGAACAGAGAUGAAUGUCUGAAGGUCAAACAACACUUUAUUUUUCUCUUUAAUGCAUAAUAAAAAGUAAAACAAG